UAUGCAAGCCAGCAGCGACAUGGUUGAUUAUCACAUUUCCACCGUUUUUCAGGCUCUUCACUCCGAAGAAAAUUACAUUCGAAUUCAGGACGAUACAUUAACUGGAAAUCUCUCUUCUGUGGAUAUUGCCACAGAAGAAAACUUGAAGAACCUUGUGAAAGUGGGUGAGGAGUUGCUGAAGAAACGAGUUGCCAGGGUGAACUUGGACACCGGUGCCUUUGAGCCGGCUUACAAGGCUACAAAUGAGGAGGCUCUCAAGAAGUUGGCUAACAUACUCUCCAGGGAGAAACGGCUUCGUGAAAUUAGAUCACCACAAGGCCAAGGAAAAGCUGUUGCUCCUAAGUGAAGAUUGACUAAUUAAUUUUCCUUCUUCUAAUAAACAAGUGUCCAAUAAAUUUCUAGUGGAGAAUUGAUUGUUUAUCUUGUAAUUAUAGCUAGGAGGAUUUUCUUCCAUUGAAAUGAAAUAAUACCAUAUCAUGGUAGAUCCUAAUUUCCUAAUGUAAUUCAUUUAUUUGUUCACAA
rnacentral:misc_RNA from 1 species